rnacentral:rRNA from 1 species
UACGUAGGCAGCGAGCGUUGUUCGGAGUUACUGGGCGUAAAAGGGGUGUGUAGGCGGUUGUUUUAAGUUUGGUGUGAAAUCUCCCGGCUCAACUGGGAGGGUGCGCCGAAUACUGAAUGACUUCGAGUGCGGGAGAGGAGAGUGGAAUUCCUGGUGUAGCGGUGAAAUGCGUAGAUAUCAGGAGGAACACCGGUGGUGUAGACGGCUCUCUGGACCGUAACUGACGCUGAGACACGAAAACGUGGGGUAG